rnacentral:rRNA from 1 species
AUUGAACGCUGGCGGCAGGCCUAACACAUGCAAGUCGAGCGAGCGGCGGACGGGUGAGUAAUGUCUGGGAACCUGCCUGAUGGAGGGGGAUAACUACUGGAAACGGUAGCUAAUACAGCAUACCAUCAGAUGUGCCCAGAUGGGACUAGCUAGUAGGUGGGGUAAUGGCCCACCUAGGCGACGAUCCCGAGCUGGGCGGAGAGGAUGACCAGCCACACUGGAAGGGAGGCACGGUCCAGACUCCGACGUGAGGCAGCAGUGGGGAAUAUUGCACAAUGGUCGCAAGCCUGAUGCAGCCAUGCCGCGUGUAUGAAGAAGGCCUUCGGGUUGUAAAGUACUUUCAGCGAGGAGGCGUUACUCGCAGAAGAAGCACCGGCUAACUCCGUGCCAGCAGCCGCGGUAAUUC